UUACCAAUUUGUGAUUCAUGACUGGGGUGAAGUCGUAACAAGGUAACCGUAGGGGAACCUGCGGUUGGAUCACCUCCUUACCUUAAAGAA
rnacentral:rRNA from 1 species